rnacentral:tRNA from 1 species
GGAGAGGUGGCUGAGCACGGCUGAAAGCGCUCGACUCGAAAUCGAGUAAGGGGCGUAACAAGUCUCUUCGGGGGUUCGAAUCCCUCCCUCUCCGCCA